rnacentral:rRNA from 1 species
GCACGGGUGAGUAACACGUAUCCAACCUGCCGUCUACUCUUGGACAGCCUUCUGAAAGGAAGAUUAAUACAAGAUGGCAUCAUGAGUUCACAUGUUCACAUGAUUAAAGGUAUUCCGGUAGACGAUGGGGAUGCGUUCCAUUAGAUAGUAGGCGGGGUAACGGCCCACCUAGUCUUCGAUGGAUAGGGGUUCUGAGAGGAAGGUCCCCCACAUUGGAACUGAGACACGGUCCAAACUCCUACGGGAGGCAGCAGUGAGGAAUAUUGGUCAAUGGGCGCAGGCCUGAACCAGCCAAGUAGCGUGAAGGAUGACUGCCCUAUGGGUUGUAAACUUCUUUUAUAAAGGAAUAAAGUCGGGUAUGUAUACCCGUUUGCAUGUACUUUAUGAAUAAGGAUCGGCUAACUCCGUGCCAGCAGCCGCGGUAAUACGGAGGAUCCGAGCGUUAUCCGGAUUUAUUGGGUUUAAAGGGAGCGUAGAUGGAUGUUUAAGUCAGUUGUGAAAGUUUGCGGCUCAACCGUAAAAUUGCAGUUGAUACUGGAUAUCUUGAGUGCAGUUGAGGCAGGCGGAAUUCGUGGUGUAGCGGUGAAAUGCUUAGAUAUCACGAAGAAC